UGACUGUGCAGCUGCCAUUGCCAUGUGACUGAAGCCCUGGAUGGAUUCCUCAGUGAGGACUGGAGGCCCCCAGAGAAUCUGAACUUCACGAUGGAAUGUUAGAUUGAAAACAAGCACUGCUAACAAAAAAAAAAAAAUCAAAAACAUACUGAAUUGCCCUUCCCUUGUUAUGGAAGUCACAACUCUUGUAUGCAGUACCUGCCUCCAGAAGCCAUGUGGUGACACUGCCGGCACUGGAAGGACAGCAACCCGGCCUUGGACUGACCAGGACUAUGACACAGCAGAAUGAGAGACAAAACGAGCCUUCUACUGCUCUGCCAUCAGCCCAGCAGUGCCUGCUAUUUCCAAGGUAUUUCACCUCACACACCAGCUAAUCAAACCUGACAGUGCAGCCCAGAUAUCAGACCCAGCAGUGACUGCCUUGAGGAGCUGUCAGAGCCAACUCUCCUGACAAAGCCAACUGAAUAUGUAUGGAAAUAAGCUGAGAAAGAAAAUUUCCUGAUCAGAUCCCACCACCUACUCCACUGACCCUCGUUGGGUAUGCUGAUAUCACACCUACCUCUCAAGAGACCUGGAAAUAAUGAAACCACAACACGUGAAGCAAACCUGCACCCUCCUGGGCAAAGAAAACCCUGUAAGGAACAGUUGCUUUUGCCACAUCUGGUAUUUCUUACUGAACUGCUCCUUCAGGAAAGCAGGCUUUAUCCUCAAGAAUUAAAUACGUUAAAGGCUUCCUUCCCAAACCCAGCAAUGUUCAGAGCAGUUAACAGUAUCAGGCCUGGACAAACUGGAGGUCGUGUUUCAGUCUAUGGCUGAAGUCCCUCUAAAGCAGUGCUGACCACAAACCAUAUGAGAAUGGGAAUAGCAUCAUUCAGAGAUCUUACUAUCCAAGGAUUUCCUAGAGAAACCAGAGAAAUACAAACUAAAACAGUAUUCAGGAAGUGAUGCCAGCUUUCCUCUUGGAGGGGAUCCUCCCACCAUGACACAUACCUCACCCAAAGGCCCCUGCCUUCUGUUUGAGAAGAUUCCACCCAAACCAACCCAUCACCCACCGCAUCGGCAGCUCCAGUCCCAGGAUGGGAGCCAGUGUGGAGCUAUAAUCCUGCCAUGCAGACAAAGCCCACAAUGGAAAGCAGAGGGUGAAAGAUGUGGUAGAAGCACCCAGUGCCAUCUCACUGACGGCCACACGAUGCUGGAGAAAGGAAGGCAUGGAGCUAAAGACACCUGUUGCAGGAUCUGCCCUUUAUUACCGGUUGCCAGCUGGGGGACAUGCUUUCUGUGCUGCACAGCUUACAGGAUAAACUAGUUUUAGAAGCUCCAUGUUUUAAAAAUAAUUUACUUAAAGCACUAUUGAGAGACUUGCAGCUCCUCCCUUGAACUUGACAUGGCCGAAUUCCCAGUACUGAGAUGACUGUGAGAUGACUGAUGUUACAGGUCAGAAGUUACUACAGUCCUGUAACAUUUGUCACAGCCCCUUAAAAUAUUUGAAGUAGACUUUCACUUUCAAAUGGAAUACAGAAAGUACAGGCUGGAAUCAAACAGUAAUGAAGAACUGAUAACAUAUGAAAAGAUGCAGCACAGAAAGCAACAUUUUCCAUAUCAUUAUUUUAAUCACCAUUAUUUUGGGCUUCAAGAGCAGGCACUGUGCAUGGUGGAUAUUUGGAAAGCUGGAACUCACCCACUGGCUUAUAACUCCCAAUUCUAUCUCUGUUCAGUCCCCAGAUAAAAUUUUCCCAAGAUAAAUUAUGCCUUGAUUAUGGGCUUGUGUCUCAUUGCUCACCACAAACAGGACCAUUAGGUUCACACAAUGUGCACUAAUUGCCUGCCACCUAGUUUAUUUUAUUCUCUGUGAUGAAUCACGAGUCUUAACAAGACUAGAAAUGAACUUAGUGUUCCACUGAUACACUCUGAGCUGAAACUUUUAGUACUCUACAGCAAAUCAAUCUUCUGCCUUCCACGUAAAAGUUAUCAUUGAUCUGGACUAAUUGGACAUAUAUUAUGUGUAUUAUGUACAAGCCAGUUUUAGGAGAUGUGGGAGUUUCCAAGAAAAAAGGAGGAAACACUUGGAAAUCUUCUUUCUUGGAUUUCCUGUAAGGUUAUUCUAUUUUCUCAGCCAAAGACUGAGUACAGGAGCCCAAUGCAACUGGAACACUAUUAUGAACCCGUUCACACAGCGUAUGGUGAAAUCCCCCACUCAGGAUGCAAAGUCUGAGAAGCAAAGGCAAGGAGCAGAGGGCAGGAAGGGCUGAUCCUGCCCAGAGAGAACCUGUCUCUGCUGCCAUUCUGGUUAUGUCUGAGUGACACAAAGGCACCCAGGAGCCUGCACACACAGCAAGUCUGUGCUCUUCCCAGCAGAUCCCACUGGUGUAAGCUGGGGACAAAACUCCCACUUAAAAGACUCCAUUCAGUUUCAAGUUUCUGCCAAAUUAUGGGAUGAAAUUUGGAAAGAAAAAGAAAACCCACGCAGAUUUAUGUCCCAGUGAGCCCAAAUCAUGAAUUUCUGUUUUGAUGGUUAACCUGCAAUCAUCGAUGUCCUCACCCGAGCUGAAUUGCUAACUCUGCUUUACAUUAGUUGGACUUCAACAAAGAGGUGGCAUUUUAAUAAGCUGUAGCAGAUGACAGACUUUGCAGCCACACUGAAGCUGAAGAGGUUAAUGCUGGAUUUAUAUCAGGGUAACUGAGAGAAUCAUUUGGCUCGGAGGCAGAGAUGCCUGCUGGCCAAUGGAGGGCAGAAAUAAGACAAACAUUUAAGAAACAAUUAAAACAAUUAAAUGUUUGACUUUGUGUCUCCUGGUCUUUUAAAACCUAGAUCAUUUCUGAAAAGAGAGGACAGUCCAAGAGUUUAGGUGAGAAAAAACAAGAAAGAGAUGUAAGCAGCCACCAAAACUCUUUCCCCAGAUUUCAAAUAGAAGAAAAGUUUUCCUCAGCCUGAAAAAAGCUCCCCAGUGACCAAAUCCCUCCCAUGCUUUGCACUGACACAGGUCACUGCAGCAGCAGAUCCCUCCAUGUCUACCUGCAGCCCAGCUACUGGCUAUGAGGCCGUGAAGACGGGCUCAUCAGUGCAGCAGAGUUCAGGCAUCCUCCCUGCAAGGUGACACUCUUCCUGUGUGUUGGGCAAAGGGGCCACUGACACACUGCUGCUUCCCCAGGAGGGGCACUGACACUGAGCACUGCUGCUCCAUGACAUCUGCAGAGCAGGCUUACUGUUCUGCAGGGCCGGUU